rnacentral:tRNA from 1 species
GUUCUUAUAGCUUAUGUAGAGCGGGGCACUGAAAAUGCUUAGGAUAUAUUUAAGGA